AAAAGAAAAAAUAAUAAGAAAUUAAGAAACGGUCUUUCUCAUUGUUAUUUUGAGAGCGAAUAAUGGCGACGGAGCCACCGUGGAGCUCCACCGCUACCUCAACCCGAAAAACCCUUUCCCUCCUUUUUUCAUUUAUUUCUCUCUCUCCUUCACUCUCUCUCUCAAUAGCAUAGAUCGCAACGCAUCCUUCUCUUCCCAUUUCGAUUCUAAUUUCUAAUUUGCAAUUUUUGAAACAAGUUCCUCAAUUUUUGAAUUUCUCGUGUUUUCGCCAUUUUUUCCCCUCCCUGUUUCAUCUAAUUGUCGAGAACCGAGAAAUCGGCAACUAUAUCUCGCGUUCUCUCUGUGCAAAGCACGAAUUAUUCUGCGUUCGCUUUCACCAUNNNNNNNNNNNNNNNNNNNNNNNNNNNNNNNNNNNNNNNNNNNNNNNAUGUGCAUUAAGUUUUUGUCUUUUUAAAUUUUUAUUUUAUUUUUAUCUUAGUUAGUAGUUGAGCGCGGUGAUGGUGGUGGAGCUUGGGGAGGAGGGUAAGAGGGAAGAGAGGGAGAAGAGUGUGAUGUGUGGAGAAGAGAGGCAAUGGAGUUGCGGCGGAAGAGCUGGCAGUGUGAAUUUGAGGAAAGUGAGUUCCAUCGUUCGGGACAUUGGGGAUCCAUGCCUAUCUCACUCCCCUGUAAAGGUUUGUUCUUUCAAUUUAUGCUGUUUAUGUUGAUUUCCAUUGUUAUAAUUGUUGAAGAAUCCUGCAUGUUUUUCAAUUCAACUGUGAACUAUUGUGUUGUGGAUUCAGUGAAAUGCAUAUUGAGAUUUUAGAACCACUUUAGAUUAUCUCUCUAUAUGAUCGCACUAUUAGCUACUUUCAGCAUUAUUAUUAUGUAAACUAAACAUGUAUUAGUGGAGAUUCCUCUUGGUUUCUCAUUUGAACUGCUCAGCAUUCAGGGGAUAAUGUUGUUUACUUUAGAAAAAAGGAAGUCUUGUUCUUGUUAUAAGGUCUAUUGUUUGAUAUGAAGCAGGCACACAGAGUUCUUAAGCCAGACAAAUGGCAAGGUAUGUUUGAUAGUGAAGGGAAACUGUUUGGAUUCCAGAAGGCAUUAAAGCUGAUUGUGCUUGGGGUAUGUCUGUUACCUAUUCAUGGCUCGCUCCCCUUGCCCUCUUUUUCUUCUUUUUCUUGUAUUUCGACAUCAUAAUCAUAUACUGAUCUUUGUAAUGUGUUUCAUUUGCUUAAUCCCUUAUUUACAUUAGGGUGUAGAUCCAUCGAUACGACCUGAAGUCUGGGAGUUUUUACUUGGUUGUUAUGCACUGAGCAGCACUACCGAGUAUCGGAGAAGUUUGAGAGCAGCUAGGAGGUUAGGGUCCAUCCACUCUCCUCAUUUUCUUCAUCAGUUGCUGGAUGUUAAAUUGAUCUUGUUUCAUUCAGUGUUGCAUCUUUCUGAGUUUUUGAAUAUAUAAUUAUUAAUAUUAUUACUAUGGACAUUUCUGAUGGUCUUUCCUUACAGGGAACAUUAUAGGGACUUGAUUAAACAAUGCCAAGCGAUGCAUUCAAGUGUUGGAACUGGUUCUUUGGCAUAUGUUGUCGGAUCCAAAGUUAUGGAUAUGAGGACUUCUUCUAGAGAUGAUCGGCAACCACAAGCUAAAAUAGGAAGAUUGACUUCUAACAAUAAUAAUAUUGAAGUAGGAAAACAUAGUGAUGGGAGCAUUACUUGUACAGAGGCAGCAAAUGCAAGCCAACGGGAGAGCUCCAAUAAUUGUGUUGAACUAGUUGGUUUGAGAACAAGCACAGAUACUGCAACAUAUAAUUCUUCUGUUCAACAGAACUGCAGUUCCCCAAAUUUUGGAAGAGAAUCGGAUGCAUCACAUUAUGAGAUUGACAGUUGUUUUGAUUUUCCUCCGUUACCUGUCACUAAUCUGUUUGAAAAGAGUGGUAAAGAUGAAUGGUCAGGCAUUGAGCAUGGAGACAAAUUUUCUGCACAACAUAAAUUAAGUUUUGAAGGUGGCAGAAUGCAUAGUUUUCAAAUAAGCAACAAUGAAGACUUAGUUAUUGAAUCAAAUGGUCAACAACCACUUUCUACCUUGCACGCUGUGGACUCUGAAAUUGAGAUUGCUUCACUUGAAGAUGAUGAACCAGAAUUUCUGUCCUCCAAUCCAGUUUAUGAAUCGGGGAUGAUUAAUCAACUAAAAAUAUCAGAUGUACCACAGCCAGCAAUUAUAAACACCUCAAUUGCUCAGGGAUGGUCUGCCAAUGAAGACAAGGUAUCAGAGUGGCUUUGGACCUUGCACAGGAUAGGUAUCUAUCUUUUAUGUUGUGGCUCCCCUGUCUUCCCUUUAGUUUGAGAUGACAUUGGUUUUCUUCUUGAUGACAUCAUAUGUUAAAACUGCUCUUCUUUCUAGUUAAUGAGAUUGUUCCUUUCCAGUUGUUGAUGUUGUGAGGACAGAUAGCCACCUUGAAUUUUAUGAGGACAGGAGAAAUUUAGCUAGGAUGUCUGAUAUUCUUGCUGUUUAUGCCUGGGUUGAUCCUGCAACAGGGUAUUGUCAAGGUUGUGUUUUUUUCCUGGGAAUUUUUUCAUGAUUAUGAAUCUAUUUUCUCUAAGUUACACUGACCUUGGAAACCAAAACUUACAUUCUUUUCACUGACACUGGAUUUCAGGUAUGAGUGAUUUGCUGUCGCCUUUUGUCGUUAUCUUUGAGGAUAAUGCAGAUGCAUUUUGGUGUUUUGAGAUGCUUUUAAGGAGAAUGGUAUUAUCAAAUUUAGCUUAGAUUCAACAAAGUUACCAUCGUUUUAUUUUCAGUGGCUAACUUGCUUCCUUUCACAUAAAUCCAGAGAGAAAAUUUUCAAAUGGAAGGGCCAACUAGGGUGAUGAAGCAGUUACGUGCAAUAUGGCAUAUCCUUGAAAUGACAGACAAGGAAAUGUUUGCGCACCUGGCAAAAAUUGGUGCUGAAAGCCUUCAUUUUGCGUUCCGUAUGUUGCUAGUUCUUUUCCGGAGGGAGUUGUCCUUUACCGAGUCUCUUUCAAUGUGGGAGGUUGGUGCUUUAUGCUUCCAGUUCUCUCCACCUGAGAAUCCCAUUAUUUGUUUUCAAGUUCUUACAAAUCAAUUAAAAUGUAAGCCUUAAAGUUUAAUCUUUGAGUAACACUUUUCUUCUUUGUCCACCUCUGCGUGGGGAGAUACGGUUUGUGAUGUUGGAAAUAAGUGAAAUAUGAUCCUAGUUUUAGAUUAUUUGCUAUAAUAAAUCCUUUUGAUACAUUAUUGGUAUAGUUUGUCAAAACAUAGUCUCAGUGCUCUGGCAUAAUGACAGAUGAUGUGGGCAGCUGACUUUGAGGAAUCCUUGUCAUAUGAUUUAAAAGAGAAAUGUCUGAAAGCAUUGGAUGUACAUCUACCCAGAGACUCAAUUCACGAUACGAGAGAAGAAAGUGCAGAUCCUGGUGAUGGUAGCGUGAAGAGUGGUUCUCAAUCUAAGCACAAUCAAAAUCAUAGCAAAAAUGCCAGCCUGCAGUCCAAUCAUGUGAAUACUGAUCACUCUGUAUCUGAUGUCAAAUUAAAGUCACUAUCAUCUUAUGCCUUUUGUGGUUUGGCGAGGUCUAUUUGGCCAAGUCGUCAUGGAGUUCAAAUGGGCACUAUUUCCUCAAAAAGGAGAGGAAAUGAUGAGUUGUCCAUAUUCUGCGUUGCAGCAAUUCUUGUUUUAAACCGCCAGAAGAUCAUUCGAGAAACAUUUUUUUUUUUUUUUUUUCUUAAUUGUUUUGCUGUUAUGAACAUCAUAUUAGUAUUUUAGUGGAAUAACUAAAAUGCUGUUGCAUUAUUUUUGCUUUCUAUGUUAAUAAUGUCUAUGUUUGGUUACCUUAUUCUGUUUGCUUCGUGUGAAUUAUGUUGUCUUUCUAAUUUUAUGUUCCAUUUACAGAUAUUCAAUGACAACAUGUUGAAGAUCAAUGUAAAAAGAUGCAUAACCACAGCAAUUAAGCUCCGAAAGAAAUAUUUAAACAAGGUGAGAGUCCUAAUAUUUGCAAACUUUUCAUUAUUUUUUGGUUUGGUGAAUGUUUGAUAUGCUUUUUUUUUUUUUUUUAAAAGUAUUUUUAUUUAUCAAACAAUUUGUUUUAGUACGGCAGCAAUGUGUUUUUCAUCUUUAUUUCAUUCUAAUGAAGCAGAUGUAUAACAUGCUUAAAAGAUCUAAUUCUUGUUUCCUUAUGAUGUUUCAUAUGCAAGGGGAAAUUUAAAUUCAAAUCAUCUUUCUUCUGUUAUAGUUCUGUGCAGUGGGUUUUGAGUGAUGCUUUCACCAAAUACACAACUCUUAUGAGUUUAUCAUUCCUUGAUGCUGAUAUUAAAGUCUCAUCCUUUGGCAGGUUAUCAGGAAAAGGAAGUAUGUUCCAGAGAAAGAGGACUAGGGUAAUAUCAUUUCAAAAUACAUCCUUGCAGCGAAAGCACUGAAUCGCAGAGCAUCAUUUUAAUGACUCUGCUUUUUCAAAUCGGAGUAUAAUGUUUUUGUUAGGCAUUACUUAUCCACUUUGGAUGGGAAACGUUUUAGUGUAAAGUGCUUUUGCUUUUGGAGGCUGAUCCAGCUGUUGUACCUUUAUAAUCUACUCUUUUUUACAAGGUAAUUUCACUUUGUUCUGCCUUAUAUUUUGUUUGCAUAAGGGAUUCUAGGAAAUUAGUUUAUCUACUCCAAUAAGGAAUUUGUACAGUUUUCUAUCGUAUCAGAAAAACACUGAUUUUUCUCAGAAUUACGCACAUUAAGUUGCUGAGUUAAACAAUAUCCAGUCACCAAGAGCACCAGAGAAUAUCCAAAUUGGACGAUUCACUAACUUCAUCAGUAGUGCUGAUGAGAUUUUGAAACCAAUUUAAUGUUUUUGGAGGGCAGAAUCUGCGAGCUUUGCAAUUUAUUAGAGAUUUUGUUUACAAAUAUUAAAUAGAUUCGAAACAACAUAUCCUCCCACCUCAUUUUUUCUUUAAUUUAAAAAAAAUCCCUGAAUAACCCCCCUUUUUCUUUAGUGAGAAGUAUGUUAUGUGAGGAAUAUGAUUGUUUUCCUGUUAGGAAUAUCAUAUUAAAUAUUUCUUUCCAUUGCUUAUGUUAUAUUCUUUCUCUUUCCUCUUCAUGUAGCCAGUGUGAAGAUUGAAGGAGGGGAUUUUUCAUCACUCUGGUUGCACCCGGGUCUGAUCAAUUUGCAGUGUUGAAUACUUGCAUAUGUUAUGCGAACAAAUUUUCUUUCUUUAACCUUUUGGUUGAGCUCUUAAAUUUGAAAAAAAAAAAAAAAUCAUACAUGUUUCUGUUAUUGCCAUAGAUAUAGGGGGUGUAACAAGUUUAGAAAAAGCACACAAGCAUACCAUAGAUGUAAAGAGAGAGAGAGAGGAAAGGGGGGAGGGGUUUUGUAAGGAUGAGAUCAUUCUUGUUAAUGAUAACAACUGGAAUGGUUAUAUUGGCAGAAGAAAUUAUUCAUACAUGCUACAGAGAGCUGUUUUUUUCUCAAGUGACUUCUCUUGAACUGUUGGAAUUCAUUUACUUAUUCAUGUUUUAUUCUUUACCUUGAGAACACAACAAUUAUGUUUAAAUUCAGAACUGGGCAUGCCUUGAUCAACAGCAGAAUAUAUCACUUUGCACUCAUUUGCUUUUGGCCUUGUUUGUAUAUCGACAAUUUUGGCGUAUCUCUCCUUCGUUUCCUGUUAAAACAUCGAUGUUCCCCAUCUUGUACAUUGAUUCGGCAAAAGCUCUCCGAAAAUCUUCAAUUCCAGCAGCAAAUUCCUCAGUGAUCUGUACAGUGUCAUUACCAUACAGUAAUUGUUGAUCAAUUUCCAGGACAGCUUCAUGCCUUAAGAUCCUCUUGUAGUAUGAUUCUGAGAAGCUGUAAUGGGGUCCAGAUUCUGGGUCUAGAUACACCGAUGGGUCAUGUUCUCCCUUCUUUCUAGGUGGACAUAGAUUUCUCAAGGUGUUAAGAAGAGUAGCAUUCAUGCUUGGGUCUGGCUUUCCACUACCAUUGUAGUUGUACAGCCUAUCAACAACAUAUCUACAAUGUGUUUUUCCCAUUGAGUGUGCACCUGUGUUGAUAACAAAACAACACACACAUUCAUAAUAAGAACACAAUUAUCAGGAUGUUAUUUUUGUUGUGUAUUGUGAGCUUGUCUUACCUAGGAGUGUGGUCAUGUCUAGUACAUCCAAGCCCUUUGAUUCGAAGUAUGAUAGAGCUUGUUGCCAUGUGAUGGAUGGUGAUGGUAGGUCUACUGAUGCAGCAUCUGAUUUCAUGCCAUCCCUUCUUCCUGUGAAAACUGGAUAACCUGGUGCACCUGCCUGUUCACAUCAACCCUCAAGUUGAUUACUUUUAUGCCCCCCUAUUGUGUUAGUUUUUCAUCCAUUCCAAUAUACAAAGUGGGUGUUGAAAAGAGUUACCAGUUUCAGAGCAUCCCUAGCAGCAAGUUGGAGUAUAUCAGCACAAGAGACAACUCCGGGGCAUCGCGAUUCCAGCACUGUUUUGAUCUUGUCAAUCAAUAUGAAACCUCCAAGACCCUGGUUCUGUAGCGCCUUCUUCUCCGGAUUGGCUCCUUCGUCAAGCAAUAUCGACGCAUCACAACCCUAGUCAACAACAAUGUGACUUGAUAAGUUUAGAACAACAAAGAUGAUUUGAAUAGAGAGAGAAGGAAAUAGGACAUACAUGGACGAAACAAUCCGAAUAAACCAAGCGAGCAAGCUUCGGAGUAAUGCUUUUAUCGUUCUUCCAAAACUCCUCGACUUGGUGGCGGACGUACACCUCGGCAUAACGACACGAGUUCCUGUAGUGAUGCCACUGCAACCUGGGCUUUGGAGGUGCACCAGCUGCAUCUGCUAUGAGAAACAAACUCAACAAUGCAAGUGCUACUAAGGGCAAAGCCAUGCACUUCAUUCUCCUCAUUUUGGGUUAUGCAACUAAGAGUAACCUUAAUAGCUUGUUGUGUGUCUAGUACUUCCAACAACGUUUACCUUAUAUAGUAUACACACAUUGUCCUGUUGGCAUAACCGACAACUUCCAAAGAAUGGAAGAGAGAAGAGAGUUUAGAAUAAUAAAACGAGAUUCCAAUUGGAUUAUUUAUUAGUUCACCUUGUGCUCUCUAAUCUAUCAACUCAAGUUUGAAGGUGUAGAAUAUUAUUCCAAGGAUUACGGGCAGCGUGUGGCUGAGGAGUGAGGCAUGGAGCUGUUCACAUGCACCAAGGUGCAUUUGUGAGUUAUUAUGCUUCAUUCACAAGCCAUGAUUAUAGUUUGUAUUAAGCAACGUGCUCUCAUGUGAUCUCUACUUGGGAUUUUGGGUUCCCUUUUUCAAAUUUCAAUUCCCUCCCUAACUACGAGAAACGCUAAACCUUUUUUUGUGAUCCAAUAAUUUCUGCACAUCGAUAUCCUCUCCAGUUUUUUUAACAUUUGAAAAAAUGCAGUGUGAUUUUUUACCAUUAACUUUAUAAGUGGGGUCAAAAUUAAAUAUGAGAGAGAACAUUGAAGAGUGAGAGAUCACAAUUGACACCAUCCAAUUUUUUUUUCACUGGAGAUGAUCCACUCCCAAUGUAUAUAUAAAGAACAUAAAUUACAAGUUUCUACGAAAAGCACUCCAAGGUUUAAGUCGGCAAGAAAAAAAUACAACUUCUGUGUUUUCUAAAAGUUUUUUGUGAGUAUAUUACUGUUUUACAAAUAUUUAUUUACCGAGUUAAGAAUAAUAUAAUUAUGAUAGAAAAAAUCGUUCAUUAGUUAUCGAAUUAUAGUGUAAAAAUUAAUUUUUAUUAUUAUGAGAAAGUAUAUAUAUACCAUGAUGAUGUGAUUAUUGACUAAUACCAUAUGGCAUGUGCCUUGUACACAAUUAAUUAUGGGCAUGGCUGUGUGAGAUGGAUCUCUGUACAGUUUACAUCAUGCAACUACAACUACAUACGUGCAGUCAUGCAUUAAUUGUAACUGGAUUUGUUAGUUGUUACUGAUCAACGACCUUCGUAAAUGAAAUAAGUCAAUAGGCAAUAUUUUAUAUAUUAUUAUUAUCGAUUAUGCUACGUACACACUUGACGUGUACCCCAUAAUACUCGGAAACAAGAUCAAUAUCAAAACCGACCAUAUAAUCUGGAAAUAAGCAGAACUGAAACCACAACUUGACCACAAUUACGCACAAGUUAAACACCAUCUCUUAGCCGUUACCAACAACAACAGAAUUCAUUAUCUAAACCAAUAAUAUCGGAACAAACAAACAAAAGAUAACACCUCACUCAUCUAUAAAAUCAAACCAAAUAGCUCACGAGAAGACAGAUCACAAAAUCGUUCUCAUAUCCUUUUCAUUAUACUGUUAUAUAUUUUUCACUGACUUGAACGUCAGAGUACUUUUUGCAGGUGCUCCUGCAGCCAUGUUUCGCAUAACCGAAGUUUAUUUAAGACGCUGCUCCUUGGACGACGUAUAGUUCUGCCCAGAAUCGAGCAGUCACCAAAGGAGUCGUAUACUUCGGCUCAGCCAGAACGGAACAACACUAAAAUUAGUCACUAAGACCAACUACCAAUAUAAAAUAGAUGUUGAAAUACAAAUAUAUAUUGAAAAUAAAUUAAAUCAUACAUAUAUUUUAUAUAUUAUUAUUAUUAUACACAUUAGAAGGAAAAAAAGAUCAAGUUUGAAGUAAUAGUCUAUAGAUUAUGUUUAUAUUUGUAGUCAUUACUUAUUUUACGCACUUUAGAGUUUAGAGUAAAGAUGCAUAUAUGUUUUGCUUUGUGGUAACUUAGUUUCAAAGGUUUUGACUGUUGAAUAAGUAGAGCUAUGCUUCGAGAUGGAUCAUAGUGGGGAUUUCAAUUAAAGGCUAAAAUCCAAAAAUUAGAAAGAAAAAAAAAAGUUAAAUUUAAAAAACUAGCCAGGUCGCCGAACAUAAUUAACUCGAAAAUGGAAAAAUUAAAUGAAAUUAAUUUAGUAUAGUAUGCAAUAUGUUAUUAUGUUGGUUGAUAGAUAAACUAUAUAACAAUUUUUUAUUAGUUGAUAUAAUAUAUGAAAAAAAAAAAAAACAUAUAAAUACCAAGCAAAGGGUAUAGACCCAGAAAUUAGAAAACGAGUUUAAAAUAAAGGCAUUUUAAGCACCAAAAGCAAAGCUAAUUAAAGGGGCUUUUUCUAAAUGUGUUGUAAUUUGUACACAUAACAGUCUUAUACUCAUGUUUAAGAAGAGUAGUAAUCAAGCAAGGUGGUACAAGUUAACUAGUUGGACUUGGGGCGUGUAUGUGUGCGUGUUUUUUUUUUGUUGAGACUUGAAUCCGGGAUUUUUAAGUAAGAAUGGAAAAAUUAUGUCAUUUGAACUAUAGUUCGUUAGCGUGUGUGUUUAUAGUUAUAUAUACAUAGAUACAUAGAUAUAUUCUUAGGACAUUAGUUAAGGCUUUUGAGAAGUAUUAGGGGUCAGCCGAUUUUGUGAUUUGUAACCAUCAAUUAGUUAUUAUUAGUAUUUUUAAUGAUGUAGGAUUAUAUUUAAUAGUGUAAGAUUACUCACUUUUCUUUUAUUGGUUAAGUGUUGGUUUUAUUUUAAUAAAAGUACUUACCUCUAGAUUUUCUCAUAUUAUAUUAUUAAAAGAGCAAUAAUAGAUUAUUAUCAAAAUUUAUGUCUUUUAUUAUUAANNNNNNUAUAACUAUAAUAUAAAUAAUGAUUAAAAACAUAUAUCAUUUAAUAAUUAUAUAAAAUAUUUUAUAUUUUCAGUAUAUUAAAAAUUUAAAAUGAAUCUCUAAAUAUCGUAACUAUUAUCUUUUAGAACAUUAAACAUUUGAUAUAUAUUAUCCAAGAAUGGAAAGGAAUCUACGUAAAACAUCCACAUAUAUUCGCUGGCCUCGAUUGUGUUGAGUUUGAAAAUCUGUGCUUAAUUUAAGCCCAAGUUAGUUAGUUCAUAAUAACAAAGCUGUAGUAUGAAAUCACUUCUUGAAGCAUUGUGCUGGCAAGGGCUAAAGGAUUAAUUUUGAUUAUUAUAUAAUUAUUAAAAAAAAAACUGUAAUAAUCAUUUUGGUUUUUAGAUUUUGUACCAAUAUGGACAUGGUACCUAUAAUCUGGAUGAUUAGUAUUGGAUCAAUAAUUAUAGUUAUACCAUGCAAUUUAAAUGAUUUUGGAUUGGUUUGAGUCAUCGAAUUAGUUUGAGUAAAAUCCGAUUGAAAUUAUUUUUUUUUAAAUUAGGAAUAAGAAUAGAGAGAUUAUGACAUUUUAAACUUAACAGUUAUUGAUUUUGUUUAUUAAAUUUCAUAAAAUCAAACUCGAUGAGGUAGUAAUUCGGUGCAAUAUAUUAUUAUUCUUUACAUUCUUUUUAUAAAUAUUAAUUAUAAUAUAAAACACAUUCAACUCAACCAUGCAAUAUGAUAAGAUUUUUGAACUUCUCUUCAUAGUGGUAAAGGACUAAAGGUGGCAAUUUCCAAUUAUGUUUUACUCUAAAUUGUCAAUUGAAAAUAGAUUAAUUGACAUUGUUUAGGUGGUUAGAAAUCUUGCUCUUUUGGAAUUUUGGUUACAAACUUUAAUUGUGACAUUAAAUUAAUAAAAAGUUAUUGUACAAAUAAAUAGUCACAUUUUUUUAUGUUCAAAUAAUAUAUAUUGCUAAAAAGUUUUGUUAAAUAAUUUAAUAGAAUUAAAAAUACAAAAAUUUUUUAAAAAUUUAUAUUUAUAUACAAAUACAUAAUAAUUAAUUUCUCAUAAUAAUAAUAAUUUUUCAGCUGAAAUAUAAAAAUAGUUUAAUUUUAAUAUACUGAUAUACAAUAUAAAAUAUUUUACAUAAUUAUAUAAUUACAUCUAUUUUUUUAAAUAAUAAUUCAUAUUAUUAAUAUAAAAAAUAAUUAUUUUUAAUAAUAUAAUAUUACAUAACUAAAUAUACGUGUAAAAUUAUUUUAUAUUUACAAUAAAUUAAAUUCCUUAAAGUAACCUUAACAUAUUACUAUUAGCAAGAUAGUUGUGAAAAAGAAAGAAAAGAAAGAAGAAAGAAAAAUAAGGCAAAGAAAGAAAGAGAGGACAAAAUGGUAAAUUGGAGGGUGCCAUGAAAGCAGUGUCAUUGAUUUUCAUCCUGCAGAGUAGACCCAUUGGGGCAAAGCAAAAUUGGAAUUCCAGAAAAUCCCUAUUCCUUAAAAAGGCAAAAUUUUCCUCCUUUUUCCCUUUUCAAUUUUCCACACCCUGCAAUUCCACCUCCUUCAAACUUCAAACUUCAAACCUCAAAAUCAAAACCCUCUCUUUCUCUCUCUCUAUCUCUCUGUCUGUUAUUUUAUCCUUUCAUCGUCUCUAUCACUAUCAACACCUCUCUCUGAAUUCAUUUUUGGGUGGGUGGCGGCGGCUGGCGGCAAUUGGCGGGAACAAGCCGUUAAUUUUGGAUAACGCUUUGAAUCGGAUUCGGGUGAAAAAGUUGCUUUCGUUAAUUGAGCAAGUUGACGGGGUUUAUCGGUUUGUCAUCGAUGGCGAACCCUUCUGGGAACCACCAAGAACAGACUCAUGUUUCUUCUUCGCUCAACGGCAACAACAACCCUGAGGCUUCGGCUUCUGCUUCAGCUCUCGCCAUGAAGCACAACCCUGGAAUCUCUCUCGAUUGGACCCCCGAAGAACAGGCCAUUCUUGAAGAUGGACUCAGCAAGUGAGUACAGUUUCUGUUAUGUAGUUUUAUUGGGGUUUUGUGUAAUUUGGGAUAUGUGACUUGUUGUGCUUAAAUAAUGAUGUUUUAUACUUUUAUUUUUUUGUUAAUAAUGAUAUUUAAUUGAGCUGUUAAUUAUUCAAGCUUGAAUUGCAUUUUAUACUUAGAUUGCACAUCAAAAUCAAUUUGUGAACUUGUGGUAGUGUUUAGUAACUGGCUCUUGAAUAGCAAAUGGUGUUUGUUUAAUUCCGGGGAAAGAGAAGAGAAGAGAAAACAAAAGAAAAAUGAAUAGUUUUUGAAUUGAUGAGAAUUUUAAUGUGUUACUUGUAGGUAUGCCUCGGAAACAAAUAUAGUGCGGUAUGCAAAGAUAGCCCUUCAACUACAAAGCAAGACCGUCCGAGAUGUUGCGCUGCGAGUUAGGUGGAUGAAUGUAAGAUUCAUUUGUGCUAUGGAAUGCUGUACAAUUUUAUUUCCUCUGGGUUGAUCAUGUUUCUAUCAUUACAUAUGAUUGCAUGACCAUUGAGCCAUUUGGAUCACAUGUCAUAUGAGGAAGCUGAUUCUGAUUUUCCUCGUUGUUUAUUAGAAUAUCGGUGCUAGGUGUACAAGUGAAUUUAACCAAGUUCCAGCCAAGCGGCGGCCCCAAAAACAAGUGGCAAUUCGUUUUUUGUUUUUCUUCUUCGUCUCUUGGUUAGAAACUUGGCUUAGUUUUACUUGUACACGCAGCUUUUCUGUUAUUCGAAUUAGAAAAUUGUCAUUGAAGCGUUCGAGGCUUUAUGGUUCUACUUCAUGGUUGCAUGAUUUUUUUUUUUUUUGAUGGAGAUAUUUUGUGCUCAUGUAUAAUAGAAUCAUCAACUAUGGAUUUGGUUCCUUCAUUAAAAUUGUGUUAGGAACUUUUAUUCCUUUUGCAACCCAUCCUUAAUAAACUUGGUUACUUCAUACUCUUAUUGGUAACACGUUUGGUGUGCUUUCUUGCAGAAGAAAGAAAAUAGCAAAAGAAGGAAGGAUGAUCACAAUUUGACGAGGAAAAGUAAAGAUAAGAAGGUACUACUAACAUUUAUUUAAUAUUUCAAUAUUCUUGCAAUCGUUAUAUUAGUUUUAUUGUGGUAUGUAUAUUCUGCCCUGUCCUUGCAUUUAAAGGCGCUAUUUAGUGUCUACCUGUUCGUUUCUGCAUUGGUGUAUGCUUGUGCCAUGUGGAUUGAGGGCUGACCUAUUUUUAUGUUCUCUUGUUGAUUGCUUAGUUGACUUUAAACCCCUUUUCCCUUAGCCUAAGUGGAAAAUAAAUAAGAAUAAUCUUCAACCCUUGUACCAAGGUUCUUCAUCUUCAUCAAGUUUUUAACUUUGAACUGAUGAUCUUAAUUUUUAUUUUUUAGUCCUGGUGAAAUAAUUGAUUGGUUUUCCAGAAUGCUAAGGUGAACACCAAUAAAUUUCACUUCAUGAUGUUAUGAGCAAUAGUUAUCCAACCAAAACUUUGUGACAUUCAUUCAUAGUACAUCUUUAGAAAACUGUUGUUCUUCUUGAAUAAAAAUGCUGCUUAAUUUUUACUUUCCUAAACACUAUUCCCCAAUUUCCAACACUUGGUGUACAAAAAACAAAGCAGAAAUUUAACAAAUAUUAAAUCAUUUGUAGAAUACUGGACAACUGUAGUUUCUUUCUUUAUGUCCCUUUUCAUUCUCAAUGGGAAUUUAGAUGCUUAGCAAAAAUCUAUCUUUAUUUCCAGGAAAGAGUUUCAGAUGCUGGCGCAAAGUCAUCUCACUUUCCUGCUCGUUCCAAUGUUCCCCCGUAUGCUCCUCCUAUGAUUACAAUGGACAAUGAUGAUGGUAUCCCUUGUACAGGUCAGGCUCCGUAACUUCUGAGUGGUCUCAUUGCUUAGGAUGGUGUGGUUUGUGAUUACAGGCUUCUUUCCAACAUAAGCAUUUGUUUCACCUUUGAAGCAUCUCAUGUACUUUACGUAGUUUUUGAAUGUUCAAGCAGCUUUAUCUUAUUUGAAUUGGUCUUUUGGCAGCAAUCGGAGGUCCCACUGGCGAGCUAUUGGAACAAAAUGCACAGGCAUUGAAUCAGAUCUCUGCUAAUCUUUCUUCUUUUAUGGUGGGUUAAUAACAGUUUUGACCGAUUUUAAUUUAUGAAAAUGACCACAUGAACAAAAACAGGAUUUGCAUAUUUUCUCUUUCAUGUUAUUGUUUUUUUCCAUAUACUGUUCUAAUUUAUUCAACAAUCUAGUAUCAUGAAUCUUUUAAGAGUUUGUAAAACAGCGGAAAUGACUAUAGUUGGGAUAUCUUGUUAUUACGAAACUAGGGUUCUCAUCUAUCGGUGUCCUUUCCAUUCUUAGGCCAUUCUUUGCAGCUGACUUCGAAUUUCCUUUUCUUUCCGAUUUUCUUUUCAGAUACAAGAUAAUAUCAAUCUUUUCUGCCAAACCAGAGACAACAUCCUUAAAAUCAUGAAUGAGUAAGUCAUACUGUUUAAUAUAUCUUGAAAUUAUAUUAUUUAAUAUUUUCUUUAAGUUUAAUUUGACUCGAGUAUAAAUACUUGCUUUCUUCUUCUCUAUUUUCAUGGCAGGUUGAACGAUUCGCCAGAAGUGAUGAAGCAAAUGCCGCCUCUUCCUGUGAAGGUGAACGACGAUCUAGCGAAUUCCAUACUUCCAAGAACUACUCUCCCAACACAAUCAUGAUGCUACUUUAUCAUCCCUUUUUUCCAUAUUUCUGCCUUCAGUGGAACUCAAUUCAUAUUCUGCCUCUGAUCGGGAUAAUAACUGCCAAUCACUGAAUCAAGUUGACUCAAGAUUUACCAGUUGGAGGAAAAAAGAGAAAAGAAAAAGGAGAGAUAUAAUGAAAUAAUUGUUGAUAAUUAAGUUGUACUAGUCUUCAAUUUUUUUUUGUUAAUUCUGUUUUGCAAAUGUUGGCUGUUUUUCUCUUGUUCUUAUUGGCUCUAACCUUAGUUGGAACUAUAGGAAUUAUUAGUGUUUUUGUUAUUAAUUGAGUUCAAUUAAAUUUAGUAGAUGAUUGAUCAAUAAGUAGUGCUAUAAUUCCAUUUAUCGUCCAUGGUAUUUUGUUUGCAGAUCUUAAUGUUGUUCAUAUUGUUUUAAAUUAUAGAUGUAUUUACCUUGUAUGUUUCCUUCAAGUGUAAUUGGAUUGCAUUCUCCCCUCCCCCUGCAAAUCCCAUAUUUCCAAUUUUCAUUUGAACUGAUAAUAAAGAUAUAAUUUUUUGACCUGAUUAAAGAUUAGACAAGGGUAAGCAUUGGACAGGGUAAGAUUCAGUUUAAAGUUUAAACUUCAUUUUAAACAGAGUAAAGUAUCGUUUUUGUUCCCAACGUUUGGAGGUAAGUCUCAAAGUUAUCCCUAACGUUUGAAUCGUCCUAUUUAAGUUCUUAAGGUUUUAAAAUUGACUCAAUGUUGUCCUGCCGUAUUAACGGAAUUGACGGCGACGACGGGACAAAAUUGAGACGAUUUUAAAACGUUAGGGACUUAAAUAGGAUAAACAAGUUCGGGACAAAAACGAUAUAUAGAAAUAACUUUUAAUUUUAUCCUUUAAUAAAAUCAAUUUUUUACUGUAUAUAGUUAUUCAAUUAUUUUUUAAUCACAUCUAAGUAAAUUACACUUAAUCACAUUAAUUUUAUUCUAAAUAAAUUUUUUUUUUAUAAUUUUAGUCUUACAAAUGNNNNNNNNNNNNNNNNNNNNNNNNNNNNNNNNNNNNNNNNNNNNNNNNNNNNNNNNNNNNNNNNNNNNNNNNNNNNNNNNNNNNNNNNNNNNNNNNNNNNNNNNNNNNNNNNNNNNNNNNNNNNNNNNNNNNNNNNNNNNNNNNNNNNNNNNNNNNNNNNNNNNNNNNNNNNNNNNNNNNNNNNNNNNNNNNNNNNNNNNNNNNNNNNNNNNNNNNNNNNNNNNNNNNNNNNNNNNNNNNNNNNNNNNNNNNNNNNNNNNNNNNNNNNNNNNNNNCAGGGGCCGGAUUGGGUGUUUUUUUUUUCUUGGGGGCCUCGUUGUCCUUUCGAGAUAAUUGUCAGGGGCCGGAUGGGGUAUUCACUCUUUUUUAAAUUGUGGGAGUACACAAAUCGGACCCUUCGAUUUGUGUCUACAAAGCUGAAAAAAAUUCAGAGUACACAAAUCAAAGAGUCCGAUUUAUGUUAAAAAUUGAAAAAACUCGGAGUACACAAAUCGGACCAUGCGAGUUGUUUGAUUUUAAAAUUUUCCUUAAGAAAUCGCAUGGUCCCACUUGUGGUUGGGCAAAUAUGAAUUUUGGAAGCUAGAAAACGGACCAUCCGUUUACUGAUGGAGAACUCGCAUGGUCCGAGUUCUAUUCCAUUGACAUCACAUAGUUUUCGAGUUCUAUUCCACUGACACCACAUAGCUGUAAAGCACCUGUAUUUCCCAUAUCCGAAUCCAACACCACUUUUGCUUCCAUAUUCAAAUUAAAAAGUGUAUGUAUACCUCUAUCUUCUCGUAAUAUUUUAAGAAAGUAUUUUUUAAAAAAUAUAUGAAAAUUAAANNNNNCUUCUAAUAAUUUUUAUAUAAAUUAAUAAAAAGUAAAAAAAAUACUAAUACAAACAUGAAUUAAAUAGACAUUUAAUAUGUUCCAAACCGAUUCGUACGUACUAGUCAAAUUGGCAAUCACUGUUGCCUGUUGGUCCAAGUUGACAAAAUACUCAUGCCACGUCAGCAUAGGUGUUUGAUCCAUGACCAUAUGUACUAUUAAUUAGACCCAAAAAUGAGUAAUUGUUCAUUGAACCUUAUUAAAGGAUAACUAAUUUAAUAAUAUGUAUAUCAUUUUGGGAUUUAUUUGUCUGCCUUUUUUAGUUUUCUACUUUAUAGAACCUGGCUGCUGCAACUUGCUUGAUAUAUUAGAUAGAUACCCUUCCACUUUUGCGGCAGAAAAUGGCUGCUAUUUGCAAUUCAUGGAAUGAACUAAUUCGAUUUCCUCGUGCAUAAAUAACCCAUACCAUAUAAUAUAGUAUUAAUAUUAUCAUAUAACAGAUUGAUUUAAUAUUCUAUUAAUUUUAAUAUUUUUGUCAUGGUAAGGAUUUAAUUAUAAUAUUUGAUAUGAUAUAGGGAUUCAAUUAAAAUAUAUAUAUAUAUAUAUAUAUAUAUAUAUAUAUCUAAUUAAAAAUUUAAAAAAACUAUAAAGACUGAUAGAAUAAUUAAAUCUAACAGAUUUCACACCUACUGCUAGAUUAUAUGCUUAUUACACAAAAAAAAAGGGGGUGAAAAAUCAUUAUAUAUUUGUGCAAUUCUAUUUAGGUAAUGCAUAGAAAUUAACUUACAUAUAUAAUAUGAAUUCAACUAGAAAAUCAACUAUUUUUCAACUAAUAUCAAUCAACUUUUUUAAAAUUAUUCUUUUACUCUAAAUUCUAAUUCCUAAAUAUUAAAUUUAAAAAAUAAAUUCUAAAUUCUAAAUCCUAACUCUAAAUUCUAAAGUUUAAAAAAAAAUGAGGAUUUAAAAAAAAUAUCUACCCACAUAUUAAUUCCACUAGCUAGUUUGUUUCCUUGACGAGAAAGUCAAGCCCUUUGUCAUCAUUUGACUUUAAGAGGGGAAAAAAUGAAGAAAAUUUAUGGUUUUGUUUGUGAAUUAUACCAGAUGCACCACCUUCAAAAAAGUAGGACCUUAUACACAUAGGAUUUUUUAAAUUAAAAAUGACAUUUUUUUGACUUCUUUGUAGUUGUUAUGUAUCAGAUCAGAAGUGGUUUAGGUUGAAAAUUUGGACACUGAGAAAUGAGAACAUAACCCUCUGACUAGAGUGUUUGACACGGUUUUGUAUAUUAUUUUAUUAUCACUAAUAUUAUUUCAUUGACACACUGUUUUUGGAUUCUUAUUUUUUCAGUAAAGUUACUAUACAAGUUUUGAAACCUUACCUAUCACUUUAGGUAGCAAUUUUUUUCUUCUUCUUAAUCACCAAUUAAAGUUUAAAGCAGUAAAAUUCAAUUUUGCUGACAAGGGGUUGACUAUAAAUUAAAAAAGUUGUGCCAAAACUAUGCAAAAUCUAAUCUUGGUUAAUAUUUAAUUAACCAACUAACCCAUCAAGGUCUUUUAGUUGAUAAGAAAUGACGAUUUAGAGCAUCAGAAAAAUCUUAAAAGUGUUCUAGUUGAGGUUGGAUUUGGAUUCUUGUACUUUUUAUUAAACAAUUUGGCACUUGAAUAGUAGUCUUGAUGAGUUUCCAGGUGUUUUCAUAUGUUAUAUAUACAUAUAUGUAGAUAUAUAUAUACACACUUUUUAAGCACCCUAUUGAUUUUUGAAAGAUCAGAGUGUGAAAGGUUUCUAUAACACUAUUACUUAUUAGUUUUGGAGAAUAUUGAGAAGGGAAAAAAGCUACAUGGGUGUUUUCACAUCACAUGCAAACUCUGCAGAUUAAAGAGGGUUUUUGAGUGUCUUAUGGUUCAUUUAAGCCACAAGCCAAGUUUUUUCUCCAAAGAGAAAAUUUUAGGCAGAGAUUCUUGCAGGUUUUUGGGAACAGUUUAAUAAUUUUCCAGUAACUUUCGGUUUUCUCUCUCUCAGUUUCUUUCUGAGGUAAGUUACUUUGAAAAAGACUACAUUCAUGCACUAAACAACAGUCACAAAUGUUCUUUCCUUGUAACCAACUUAUUCUAUGUAAAAAGGAAAGCCUUCAAAUGUUUUUUUUUUCUUUUUCCUAAGCCAUUACUCCUUCUACCUAAUGGUUCUGACAUGAUUGUAUAGACAUAUCAAAUUAUCUAACGGAUAUGAAAACAAUGAUUGGCAGAUUAUUCUUAAAAGAGAUGGUUGUAGCCAAUGCAAUCAAAGGCCUAGUUUCUGUUUUAGUGAUUAUGGUGUUGAUUUUACCACAAAUUGCUGCUCAAGUUCUUCCACCAGCUGAUUCUCCAUCAGGUAAUAUAUGGUUUCUUUCAGAUUUUCUUUUAUACCUUUGUGUUUAUUCACAUUGAAAGCUGUAUUACUUGAAGGACUAAUAAUAAUUAAUGUUGCAUAUUCUCCAUGUCUUUCAAAAUUGUCUAAAAAUGAGGAACAUUAUGUCUAUAUUUGUUGCAGAUAAUGCACCAGAACAGAUUUGGCAGCUUGAUAAUACUGUUAGAGUGGAUCCUUUAGAUAAUUUAAGAAAGUACAAAGGAGGAUUUGACAUCACCAACAAGCACUAUUGGAGUGUAUAAAUCUUUCUCAACUCUAAGUUUCAUAGACCAAUGAUAUAUAUGAAAUAUUGUUAACACUUCCUUAAUGUUUUGUAGUCAGUGAUCUUCACAGGAGUUUAUGGAUAUGCAAUUGGGAUCCUCUUCCUUUUUUGUGGAACAUUAUAUGGAGGUUGUUUGUUAGUAACAACCAAGUUCUAUGGCAAAAGUGAGAAACCAAAAAGGGUGAAGAAUGUGUUUCCUUACAAGAGUUUUGAUGUUUCAAUUAUCCCUUUGGCUAUAUUGCUCACCAUAUUAGCCAUGUAAGUUAUUCAUUUCGUCCUCGGACAUCGAGCCAACUCACUCUCCUUGACAAAUUCCAUGGCUUUCCACAAUUCAUGUAUGCAUGGAUGUUUGAUUUUGUAGAGUUGCAACUGGGCUUGUUCUUGCUGGGAGUGCAAGAUUCCAUUCUGAAGCAGAAAGUUCAGUUGGAAUUAUAAUAAAGACAGCAAAUGAGGCAUCAGAGACAAUAAACAACACAGCAGGAGCAUUAAAAGACAUGGAAAGUAACUUGAUGGAAGACAAUGUCAAUAAUGCUGUGGUUUCUGUGAGACUUGACUCAACAACUGAGAGGCUUGAUGAUGCAUCUGCAAAUAUUGAAAAGGAAGCUAGCAAGAAUAGGCGCCUUAUCAACAAGGGCUUGAAACUUGUGUAAGAAUUCAUUCCUCUCUGUCUCUUAUGAAUAAUGCAGUACAUUGCAAUAAUAGUGGAAUGCUUCUAAUUGCAGAUUUGUGAUUACCAUUGUGAUUAUGAGCUUCAACUUGGUUGCAGUGACAGUUUUGUCAGGUAUGUCCCACUUGGUUUAUAAUUAGUUCUCCUAUACAAGUUUUUGAAUUGUGUGGGAUGAAUUCAUCAUUUUCAAAUCCUAAGAGACUACUUUGUAGCUCUUGCUUCAAGCAAUUUUUGUAUAUGACACAUGAUUCUCAUAAAUGUUUGGAUUUUUAUGUGAACAGUUUCCGGAGUACUGAGGUUGCGACGAGCACUUUACUUGUAAGCAAGCUGAACUGCAUUUUCUUGGAAGCUUAGAUGCUAUUUAUCUGUCAAAAAUCUAAAUUUUGUGUUACCCUUUUGUUCUUCACAGGUUAAUCACACUUUGCUGGUUGAUGACAGUGAUAUGCUGGAUAUUCUUUGGGAUCUAUUUCUUCUUAGAAAAGUAAACUCCAAUUCCAAUCUGCAUUACUCAUUCUCAAUAGUUCUCAACCUUAACUAACUAAAAAAAGUUCCACCAUAUUGCAGAUUUUCUGGUGAUGCUUGCACAGCACUUGACAACUUUCAAGAAAAUCCAUACAAUAACAGCUUAAGUUCCAUACUUCCUUGUGAUGAAUUGCUCUCAGCAAAAUCAGUCCUGUCUGGUGUUAGUGCUGGAAUCUAUAACCUUGUAAAUAAGGUAUAAUUUGCAUCAAUCAAAUGUUGAUUCAACACUAAUAGUAAUCCCUAUGUAACUAUUUUAGUAUUGGUGUCACAUGUUAUGGUAAUUGUGCAGGUGAAUGAAAACAUAUCAGGCAUGCAGGCAACAUCAUAUCCAAAUCUUGUUCAUGUUUGCAACCCUUUCUCGGCGCCGCCGGAGUAUCUAUACCAGCCACAGAACUGCCCUGCCAACACCAUAAGAAUAGGAGACAUUGCAAAGGUACUAAAGCCUUUUACAUGUUCUGAUGGAACAUGUGACAGUGAAAGUGGAAGCAGUUUCAUAAUAAGUGGAAGUGAAUAUGUGAGAGUUGAAGCAUUCACAAGUUCAAUUCAGGACUUACUAAAUGUAUAUCCAAGCAUGGAGAACUUGUUGGAAUGCCAGCUUGUGAAGGAUGCAUUCUCUGAAAUUCUUGUCAAACACUGCAAUCCAUUGAAGAGAUAUGCAAAGAUGGUGUGGUCUGGAAUGGUUCUUGUUGCUGUGAUCAUGCUGGUUUUGGUUCUACUGUGGACUCUAAAGGCUCAUGUUUCAUAUGGUUCUGUUGAGCCACAAUGUGCAACACAACCCAGUAACUUGGAAUUAGGCUCCACUAAAGUUGUUAAUAACAACUAUAACAACAAAGUCGUAUCCCACUAGAAAGAGUCGACUACAUGGAUUAAACGACUACAGUAAGACAAUUUAUACUUAGAUUAGAAACAGAGAAAAGAUAUCAGAAAGCAAAAUGUGCAAACAACUUCCAAAUUGUACAUACACUGAUACACACAGUCUUUUUAGUCCUCAAAGGUGUUUAGAAUUUAGUUACCUUGGUGAUAUGAAUUUUAGGUUACACUAAAUUGUGACAUAUUUUUUGUAAAAAUUUCAUUUAGAAUAUAUGAUAUAAAUAAAAAAGAGGGAACCAACCCCAUACUAUAUAUACCUCAACACCAUACAGAUGUACCAAACUCAUCAAAUAAUACUAGUUCAAGAUUAUUAUAAUCUCCUUUGCUUCAAGAAGUUGCACUUUUUUCUAUUAGUCUCAACGAAAUUCAAAUCAAAUACUUUAAUUUUUAACAAAUUUUUAUUAUUUUCCAAGCUUAGAGAAUUACUUCACAUAUUAGUUCUUUUUAACACACAUAUGCACAUGAGUUUACUGUAUAAUUUACAUGGAAAAGUAUAUGGAACCAAGAGAUGAUAAGCCAAAAAGUAAACAACUUAAUUAAUUUAUAAUUAUCUUAAUUAAUUUUAUUUAUUUUUAAUUUAUAAUAUUUGAUAUUAAUUGCUUCUCACCCCCAAAUUAAAAUUUUGAAUGAUACGUUGGAGAAUUAGUUACGGGGAUCACGGAACUCUGCUUCCAACAAUCCCGAUUCUUCACCAUCUCUUCCAAGCGGCUGUAUCCCGAAUCAAGCUCUCUAUCCCAAGCGGCGCCCAGCUCUUCCAUUCAACCAUCCAAGCACCGACCCCUUCUUGGAUUCCGUCGGUCCGUGCCACCACAUGUUGGGUUGCGGUUGACCAUCGUUAUUCUUCUUCCCGAUUGCCUCCACUAGUCCGUGCCACCAUUAUCCAGAAGUCGCAAUUGAAGGUGACAACGCCGAUCGCGGAUCAAGUGUUGUUCCCGAUUGUAUAACUAGGGAGUUGACCAACAAAAACCAAGUGCCGAUCCCACCGAAGGCAACCUCAAUCAGGAUAACGCUCCCAAUGAAACACCUGUCUCUAGAGUUCCCGAUGCAGGAACACUCUCCGUUGCGUUAGUGCAACAUGAAGAAUGGGAGUUCGAUGGGCAAGUCUCUUAGGCAAAACUAUUUCAUUUUGUGGUCUAUUUUGCUUGUUAGUGAAUUAGGGAUUGUAUCCGUAUACAACUGCCUUUUCUCUAACAUCGGUUGAGUUUCUUGCAGUAAUCCCAAUUUCCUGUCGAACCGAGACCCCGAGAGUGAACGAAUAUGGUAAUACUUUGAGCAACUGCAGAACACGAGGCCACUGCAAACCGUGAUGCCAGCCACUCCGUCUUGCAUGACUCCUAGCCCACCAAGCAAGAAGAUUUCACCGGGCAUGACUCGGACGGAACAGCAGUCUACCCAAUGUACUCCUAUAAAGGUGCAUCCACUGCUGAAAGGGCGAAAGCUGGACAUAGGAGUACAUUGGGUAGACUGCUGUUCCGUCCGAGUCAUGCCUGGUGAAAUCUUCUUGCUUGGUGGGCUAGGAGUCAUGCAAGACGGAGUGGCUGACAUCACGGUCUGCAGUGGCCUCGUGUUCUGCAGUUGCUCAAAGUAUUGCCAUAUUCGUUCACUCUCGGGGUCUCGGUUCGACAGGAAAUUGGGAUUACUGCAAGAAACUCAACCGAUGUUAGAGAAAAGGCAGUUGUAUACGGAUAUAAUCCCUAAUUCACUAACAAGCAAAAUAGACCACAAAAUGAAAUAGUUUUGCCUAAGAGACUUGCCCGUCGAACUCCCAUUCUUCAUGUUGCACUAACGCAACGGAGAGUGCUCCUGCAUCGGGAACUCUAGAGACAGGUGUUUCAUUGGGAACGUUAUCCUGAUUGAGGUUGCCUUCGGUGAAUCGGCACUUGGUUUUUGUUGGUCAACUCCCUGGUUAUACAGUCGACAAAUUCUCUUAGCAAGAGGCUCAUUCUCCUCAUCAUCAUCUGUGCUAAUUGGGAGAUAUUUUUCUUCAGAUUGUUUUGGGCUGGACCUACGUGAUCGGUCCUUUUUAGGCUCCCUUUUUUGCGUAGCUCCCUUGCUAGGCUGUUUUAUGCAUAACGAAUAUGUUGGGUAAAGAAAUAUCCAAGUACAUUGAAAUGAACCUAAUAAACUUAUGCAAAGCUAGUCGAUGAUUUAAACCAUACACAACAAUAAACGUAUACUCACUCUCGGGCUAGUUUUUGAUCCUUCGGCGCGCCGUGAACUUCUUCUGGUUGGAUGUGGAGCUGUUGUGCGUCCACUUGGUUGUCUUUCCUUUGAUACCUGCCUACUCUCUCCACCGACUGAGCUCCCCUGUUUGAAGUAAUAGCAUGAACCAAAUUAACAAUAGCGAAGUAAACUUGUUAACAUGCUAAAGCCUUAAAACGUGUUUACCCUUGGCGGCACCGAAUCCUUUUGCCCACGCUUCUGUGGUGCUUUUUUUCCCGGUUUUCUCCUUGCAGCUUGCGGUGACUGGCCCUUUAUGUCUUCACCUUCUCCCUGUCUAGUCAAAAGGCGCCAUUGAUUUAAGAAACGAAGAGAAUCAAUGAUCUUAAUAAAACCCCGAAGCACCACCAAAAUAGAAACUAGAAACAGCAAAAUAAAUAAUAAAUAAAUAAAAUCUCAAACACAUGGGGUCAGCGACAUUUACCUAGCACAUCUGACAAACAAAAAAUAUACUUAGAAACAACAAAAAAGCAAACAUAAAAAACAUCUUGAGUCAUUUGAUAAGCAGCUUCAACUUACAUAAUUGCAUAAAUUAACUGAUUACGAGAGGGAAAUGAGUACCUCGGAUAGAAUAUAUUACGCCUUCUUUUCUAGCCUCUCCGAGGCCCACGCAUCGAGCCAUGGCUCAUGCUCAAGACAGUUGUCGAGCAGACUGUAUUGCAACCGCUGAAAAUAGAGGAUCUACACAGAGGAUGGGCGCAAGUUUUGUUAUACAUGACGGAAAAUCAAGUUGAAUAUACUAUUAAGUUGAACAGUUAGCAUCAGAUAUAGUUCAAGAUUGUAUAAGGCUUGCAAUCAACUGGUAUAUAUCGAGGGACACAUAACUAGUGACAGGAAACAUUCAGAUGAAAACAUACACUGAACCAUCUAAAAUUAGUAAACAAAGAUUCAAGUAAUUCAGCAACAUAUCAGUAUAAAUCAUACAAAUAACAGUACUAGAGCCUGAACUCUCCAAACUAACGUAUAGGAAAUUAAUUUUCUACAAGUUAUGUUCUUCAUAAAAAAACGGCAUACUGAAUUUAGUAAUGGUCAUUGCGUCCUACCAGCAUGACGAACAUGCAGCCUUCACACAUUUUGUUCCCUUUCAGCUUAUACUUCUCGACUGCCUUGUCGAACCACUUCAGAGUUUCCAACGGCCAGUUGAAUCUCCGUGGAUCAGAAACAUCUAAGACGGGAUAGAUGUGCCAUGGCGAAAGUACCUGUUGAGUGGUGGGGCACAGGAACAUUUUCAUCACCACCAGUAGGAAAUAUCUCCUGAACUCCAUCCUAUCUGAUUCUGUGGCCAUUGGACAACUAUAAACUAAAUCCCGGAGUUCGGUUGUUGUCCGUCUAUGGAACCUCUUUUUGAUGGCCACGUGGCACGGAUUACAGUCAUCCAGGACUGGAAAUGGAUCCACUACAACAUGUUCAUUUGUUAUUGCAUGGUCAUAUAUCCAUACCCAAAGAUAUUUACGCCAGCACGCCUAUGCAAGACUAGGUAAUUAAGAUAGCAGAACUUACCUCGAGACGGAAGGCCGAAAACCUUCCCGAUUAACUCGGCAUUGAGGCGGAUGUUGCCAAUGUCGAGUAUAAAAGUUCUUUGCUUAACUUGAUACGACUCAGCCAGAUGAACCAUGAUGGCUUGCUUUACCGACCAAUUUGGAACAAGCCUCAAGAAUCCGAAUCCGAUCUCAUCAAUCUCCGCAAGCUUCUCGACGGAGUUGUUUUUAGAUAGCGUGCUCAUCAUGUCAUGUAUGUAGCUAGGCGAACACCGAGACUCUAACAAUUUCUGUUAGAGGUUACACUAGCAGUAAGUCACACAUAAGAUAAUGUGGAAUGUUAAAUCUGCGAAUGGUAGAUAUCAUUUUACCUUUUUCCCCAUGUUGGUUGGCUUUUCUGCAAAUCAAUCCUGCUGCAGUCUCACAAGAAACAACCCCUAAUCCUUUAACGGAUACUGCCAACAAACAUCAUAGGAAACAAAUCAGCCAACAUUUACUAUAAUUUCGCCAUCCAAAAUCCAUAACACAGUUAAGAGAACAGCAACAAUCAAUCACCAAUUGAAGUCAAUAUAGCAAAACCCAAUUUCCAAUAACAACCUCUUUGGCUUUCUAAUUACAGAAUCAUCCAUUCGCUAGUUAUAGCAAUUAAACAACAUCCAACAAAAUAGCAAAUGUAAACCACAUCGACUACAACCAUAGUUCUUGAAGCUAAGCAUAGAUUACAACACAGGAAUAAACAAUUUCAAAUUUUAUGUUCUAGGUAACUAAUAAACUCCAAUAGAUGUUGUAAAACCACCAACAAAUCUUAACCAAAAAAAUCGAAUUUUCUUGCUGGAGGUUGACAAAUUCAGUUUAGACCCAGUUCAAUUAGAAAAAUAUCGUAAUUACCGGUGAAGUACGUCUCUUACUCCCUGUGAAUUCGAAAAAAAAAAAAACACUGCUUAACCAAGAGCAUGGCAGUGAUUUGCAACUAUAUUUGUAUAGGAGGACUCGCUGCUAAUUACUUCAAGGAAUACUUAUUAAUAAGCGGACCAAUUUGAGAAAGCAAAAUAGAAUAAUUGGGUGAGAAAAUCAACCUCCAAUCUUUUUACUAAUUUUAUCUAUUUGUUUCAAUGAAUUCUAUUAAUAAUUUAUCAUUAACAUCCCAGGGACAGUCCUUUAAAAACCUUUUUAAAGUACAACCAAUUAGCAAAUAUGCAAAAAUAACCUAUUAGUCUAUAAUAACACAUGUCAUAACAUAACUUCUUCCAAAGGUUUUUCAUUUAGGCGUAUAUAGCAACAUGUCUCAAGCAACUUCAUGCCAUAACAAUGCAAAACCGGCAAAGAAACAAAACAAUAAAAAAUAGGUGAAGUUUACCUUUUGAUUGAGAUGUUUUCGAAAAGUUUUAGAGAAAUUAAACUUGGGGGAUAUCUUUUUUGCUCUUCAAAAUCAUCAAGGAAUAAAAAUAAAUAAAACAGCUAUAGAGUACCUCCACCAGCUCUUAGAUGCAGUUCAGGUACAAAAUUAAUUAACAGUAAUUGAUCAUAAUUGUUAACAAAUUAGGACGCUAACAAUAUAUAGUCUUGCAACACGUGCAUACCUAUAAUGAGAAAAUAGUGAAUAACUAAUCUUAUAACCAUAGUUGCUGAACCUAAGCAUAGAUUACAAAUCACAAUUUAUCAAAGUUCUAAUUUUAUGUUCUUGGUAACUUACAAACUCCAAACAAAUUUUGUGUAAAACCUCGUACAAAUCUUAAUCAUAAAAUCAAACUUUCUCGCUGGAGUUUCAUAUAAUUAGAACAUACCCAAAUCCAGUUAGUAAACAAAAAACAUACCUACCUGUGAUCAGGCUUUUGUGAAACUCCAAAAACAGGAAAACAUGCAGCUGAUAUUUUUGACAAGGGCCAGUGAUGCACCAAGAUUAUAUUACCUGAGCUAUACAACAUAGAAAAAACAUCCAUUCAAUUAAAAUUCACCGGAACCAAUACAACAAAACCAUGUCCAAAUCUCUUUUCAAAAUAUGCAUAGGAAAUCAGAGAAAACAUUUACCAUACUUGCCAAUUAGUGAGACGAAGGGAGGAUUCCAGGCUGGAGAAGUGGAGGUCCACUGGCGGACGGCGCAACUGCACCAGGAGGCUUCAGUGGCGCCGGUAAAACACGCAUGCAGUGCCAGAGUCGCGUGGCUCUGGUACCGUGCGUGGAGGCGCAAUGCACGGAGAGGCUCGGAGUAGCGUCGCAGCGUCCGGAGAAGAGAGGGAAGAGGGUUGCGCGAUGUUCCCGGAAGCAUGGUGCGGGUGUAGAUAAUUUUCAAAUUUCUGUGUGGUAAAACGGUGAAAGCAAAGGUAGGGUUUUUAGGAGGGUGAUUUUUGUAUACUCUGGAUCAAUUUUGGGGUGAUGCUGAAGUGAAUUGGGCUUUUGGGUCUCAACCCAAAAAUAUUUGACUGAUUUUUUGCAGAUAUAUUAUUGGUUCUCUAGUAUUAUUGAAUUUACAUUUAUAUUACACAAAUUUACACAUAAAUUGGCAAAAANNNNNNNNNNNNNNNNNNNNNNNNNNNNNNNNNNNNNNNNNNNNNNNNNNNNNNNNNNNNNNNNNNNNNNNNNNNNNNNNNNNNNNNNNNNNNNNNNNNNNNNNNNNNNNNNNNNNNNNNNNNNNNNNNNNNNNNNNNNNNNNNNNNNNNNNNNNNNNNNNNNNNNNNNNNNNNNNNNNNNNNNNNNNNNNNNNNNNNNNNNNNNNNNNNNNNNNNNNNNNNNNNNNNNNNNNNNNNNNNNNNNNNNNNNNNNNNNNNNNNNNNNNNNNNNNNNNNNNNNNNNNNNNNNNNNNNNNNNNNNNNNNNNNNNNNNNNNNNNNNNUUAUAAUUUAUAUUUUUAUUAUUUGCCUAUUUUUUAUUUUUUUAUAAAGAUACAACAAAAAUAAUAAAAAAAUAAAACGACGAUUAAACUCUUAAAAAUUUCGAACUUGAACUAAUUUUUUUUUUAUCAAAGAUAGAAGACUCGAACCCACAACCUCUUAAUUGAGUAUGGAGAGACUAUACCAUUUGAGCUAUUACUCAUUGGCUCGAACUUGAACUAAUUAGCUUUAAAGAACAAAAAGUAUUAAUUUGACUUUCCAUGAUGGUAAAUGGUACAUGAUAUCUUUCCAUCAAUUAAUGGAUACUUAUAUAUAUUAUUUAUCUACUGUGAUAUGUUUAUUUAUAAAAGAUUGUCAUGUAAAUUAGUAGAUAAUAACUUUUGGAAUGAAACUUCAUCUAUUUUGAUAAAAUACGUAAUAAAUAAUGAACAGUUAAUAAAAUUUAUAUAAAAACUUAAAAGAUAAUAAAUUUCCAUACUCAAAGUCUAAAACUAUAUCUUUUUCAUACUCAUUGUCACUGACUUUAAUCAAAAUUAUAUUUUAGGUAUUUUGGGCCAAGGUGCAAAAAUCGUUAAGAUGCGUUGACUUGAUUAGGGUUUGAAGUUUGAUUGUGAAAUGAAAAUGGAGAAGUGUGGAAGCGAUUGUUUAGAGGAGCUCGUGAAGUUCACUCUCUCCAACUCUCAGAAUUACCAUAUUGCCCUUUCCACUGAAUUCUGCUCCACCCUUCUCAAAGAUGAUCCCACACAACCAUCUUCUUCACUCGGUACAACUAUUUAUAUCACUCUCGAUUGAAAAAAAAAGUUUCCAUUUUUGUCCUCCUACUUACACUACAUGCUUGUGUUUGUGUGCAGAUUUGUUGGAAGGAGUGCCACUGUAUCCAUUGUACAAGCGUCUAGCAUUAGUUCUCUUGAAAUGCAUGGAUUCUCAAACGUUUUUCUGGACAGGAUCAUGCAAUUCAUCGGUGACUAAUGAAAUUGAUAAUGCUUCCGUGCAGAAGAAGCAUUCCGAGUGGCACAAAUUGAUUUUGGAUAAGAUAUCUGAGAUACUGAAUGUAAAAUGAACUUAAACAUUUGAUGCCUCUAUUUGCUUCUUUCUAUUUGUCUUUUGAUUGAAGCUAGUUGCAACAGAUCUUAAAUAGUGUAUUAACAUUUUGUUUCAACAGAUUUUGAAGAGUCUCUCUUUUGAAAUCCAUGUUCAAGAACCAUUUUUCUCACAGCUCAAAGGUAGAAAGUUCUAUCACUCUGUAAUCACUGCUAAAGCAUUUGUUUUUUUCCCAAGCCAUGUUGAUAGGUAGAAAAAUUCUCUAUUGCUUAGAAUGAAUUGCUUUGAAGUAAUGCGGUAGAGUCCUAUUUCUUUUAUGAAGUCUUAGGAAUUAUGAUGUAGUUAUUGACUGCAGAUGGCCUGAAAACAGUUGAAGGGAGGUGCGCCGGCGGCAAAUACAGCAGGUUUCAAUGUUUUACAAUUUUAAAGAUAUGUGAUAUGCCAAUGAGGUUGUAUGCAAAUUUAUAUUCCAAUAAGUCUUAGAAACUUAGGUGUUAUGCUUGUCCUUCCAAUGUAACAAAAAAGUUGUCUUACCAUGGAUGCAUAGUAUCUUGUUACUUGAUUCUUGGAUUGUAUUUUCUCUUAAUAGUUGGCUAUUGGAUUACUAUGAGUUACAUGUUGCCCAUUUCACUUCUAUUCAUAUUUCCUUUUAAUUUUUGGAAUAUUUGGUUUUCCCUUUCCAGGAUUGGACUAGGAAACCUGAUUCUGGUAAACAAAUCUGUCGUGUUUGAAGUUCAGGUAAUGACUAGUUUUGUUAUUAGUGGAGGAUCUUUCUGUAAUGCGGUUGCUCUGCUUCUUAACAUAAUCAAUAUGUAGGGAAUACGUUGGUAUCCUACCUUUGCUGACAUGUUGGAGACAGAAAACCUCGGGAAAGUUCUUCCAGGUGUUGACAGUGUUGAAAAAGGUACUGGAGAUAUUGUAUUAGUAUCUAUAGCAGGAUGAUUAAUUGAUUCAAAAUGAAGAAUCAAAGUGAACUAAGCUAGUUUGAGUUGCUAAUUUCUUCCUUCCCUGUAAUUAUGCAGCCAAAAAGUUCUUAAGAUGAAAGAAGCCUCAGUUACAUUGAUGUCUAAGUCAUUUCCAGAUUUUAUACUGAUAACCCCAGAAUAAAGCUUGCAUAGCAUUGCAGGAGUAGAAAUCUACCGGAGGUUUUACACAGAAGAGAAGGAAAAGUCAAAUGGUGUUCUUGCAAUUGGUGUUUCAAAACAUACCCUUCAACCAUACAUUCCUUUGGCCAAUUUAUUCUCUGUGAGUUCACUCUCCUGUAAAACCACUGCAACUGAUCUGCAAUCUUAGAAUCAUCAUCUAAGAACCCUCUACAAUUAUGUUACUGUGCAUGUUCUGCCUUUUAUUUGAUAAUAAUGUACUGCAAUGAAAGUGGAGUUAGACCUUAAGAAGUAAGAACUAUGUUAUUUCCUAUUGGAAUUAAAAUCACAUAUAUAUUUUUUGCUUUACCCCAUAUUCUCCCUCUUAAGUGUCCUGCAUUUUCUUUCCUUGAAGUUAUCAUAUGCAGUCAUAAAUGUUUGCUUUGGUAAAUGGCUAUUUACUUACAUAAGUGCCCUGACCCUUGUGCUGUUUUCAUCUUAUAUAGGAAUUAAGUUAUGAAGGUGUUCAAGGCCUUCUAGGGUUGAUGCAUACAGCAGGGACAAUUCCAGAUGCGCUUCCACCACCAAGAUCAACUCUAUUAGCAUCAUUUAGUUUGCUAUGCAAUCCAGAUGUAAGAAAGUGACUUCAUUCAUACUUUUUUUUUUUCGAGGUUUCAUUAGUCUCUGUUUGAUGGUGAGUUUGUUUAGCUAAUAUGAUGCAGUGAAAAAUCUGUGUACUUUGAAACUAAAUUAUACCUUUUGUUGGCUUGACUGCUUAAGGUUGAAGGUAGUUCCUUAACUCUUGGAGCUCGUGCAUUGGCCAAACAUGCUUGUAGGAGUAGCAGUGGUUAUUGGGGGUCCCUGGAUGGAGGUGGUAAGGAAUAUUUUUCCCUUUUUCAGAAACUUUUCAAUAGAUUUGCAAUAAUAAUUGCUUUGCAAUUUCCGUUUUGCGCUUUGCUUUCUAUGUUUCUCUGCAUGUUAUUUUAAUAUGUUGACGAAAAUGCUAUUGAUUAAUAGUGUGUCUAACAAGUUGAUUGCAUUGGUUUUACUAAUUCUUGUAUUUGUAACCACUCGUUGCAGAUUCUAAUAAGAAUAGACUUGCAAUGGAUGUAAUUAAGCGCCUAAUAGCACAUUGUUGUUGGGUGAAUAUGCAUGUUGUCCCGCCGCAUGGAACCGUGUUCGAAAUAAGGGUUGCUGAAGGAUAUGGCGCACGAUGGACAGAAGAUGGAAGCAAGGUAUGUGGGUAAUCGUUAAACUCUGUUUUUCAUUUGCUUCCGUCGCACGUUCAAACAUAGUAUGGUGUCUUUUCUGCAUAACUUAAGACUCAAGUUAACUUUCUUUAUACUCAUCCUUCCCUAGCUGCGGAUAAGGUUUUAGCCUGGAGAAAAGCUUUUUCUGUUUUCAACUUGCAAGAUUUAUUUUUCUUUAGCCUUGGUAACAAAUAGAAUUGUCCAUUGAAAUAAUUUUUCUCAACCCUUCUUUUUUGUGCCUCCAACCUUUUCAGUUUAUUGGAUUUUUAGAGCCCUACAUGGAAGAUGGUCACUCAAAAGGAUGGAAACACUAGUUCUGCAACAAUUAAAGCUUCGAAAUCGAAAGUGUUGAUGGAUAGUUAUGGGUAUUUGAAAGUACAAAUAUGGGGCCUUAACUGAUGGUAAAGUUUUUUUUAGUGUAUAUAAAUUUGUUACUUAUACUCAUUCUGUCUUUUAAACCGAGCAGACACAUAUCUCUUACCAUUCAAUGGAAUGUGUGGUAACCACAUGGGAUAAUGAGUCUGACUCUAUCUAAUGAUAAAAGAGUGUAUGUCAAUUCAAUAUACAAAAUAUUUCUCAUCCUUUUGCUUGUUGACUUGUUCGGUUCUUCCUAUUUUGUUUUGUCACUAAUUGUUGUCAUUUUCUUUUUCUUAAAUCUUAGUAUGGAUUUCCCUAUGCAAUAUAUGGAUCACUACCUAGCUAGUUCUUUGUUUCUUUCUAUAACCCCAAAAUAGUAUACAACUCAUAUUAUGGUGUACCACGCAAACCUCUUUGGUGUAUUUGCAAACACUUGUGUGAGGAAAACAAGUGGAAACGUCCUUUUUUCCCUUAAAAUUAAGCAUGCAAAGAAUGAGAUUCUUUGGCUUUAUAUAUAAGUUCUAACAUCUUCCUCCUCUUUUUCCUUUUCCCUAUAAUUUGUCCUUAUAAUAUUUUUAAAGUGAAUGAAUCUUGAUAGAGGGCACAGCCGACAGUGGUAUCUAUCAUUUGUUUUCUUUAAUAUAUACCUAAAGGAGGCGAUAGUCUCAAUGCAAUGCAUCACCAUAUGUUGUAAUGCAUUUACAUUUACAAAUAAUAAUGUUUUCUUGGAUUUAUAUAGUAGUAUAAUCUAGCUAGCUAGCUAUUUUGGUGCAAGCUGUUGUGGUUGAGGAUGAUGAUAGCAUGCAUGCAUGUGUGCCAGCACCACCACAGCUUAGCUUGAACCUUGGCCUGCCACUGCAAUGAGUAGUGUUCUAUUGGGUUGAACGGUUUGUAUUCUGAUCUGGAGGCAACUUGGGAGAAUACUAAACCUUGUUCUGAUUAAUUCUCAUAUUCUUUAAAGAUUGCAGAGUUGUUUGCUAUAUAUAUAUUCUAUUUCAACAUGUUGAAAUUGUAGAUUCCUAGGAGUGAACAAAAAACAGAGAGAUACCAAAUAUAAAAUCUGAGAGAAAACAACAACAAAGUCUUUUUAUUUAUUAGUACAUGAUGAUGUCAGUUAACUAUAUACAUUUAUUAAAUCCUGCUAUUAUUCUAGGAAUUCUUGAAUGAAUACAUAGGUACACCACUACCAGUGAUCUUGGAAAGAGAACUACAGAGGAAGCUUAGAAUGGUAAGAAUUAUUUUAAUGUGUGUGCUACUAAGAUAAAGAACAGAAAAGAAUCUCAAUUUAAUUCUUAAAAUUUUUUGAUAUUUCAAUUUUAAAUGACUAAAUCAAUUUAUAAAACUUUACUUAAUUAGAGAGUUUUAUUAAGAUUUAAAUUUUGCUACAAUUUUAUAUUUUAUUUAUUUUACGAAAAUUCUCAAUUUUCUAUACUUGGCAGAGACAGUUAGUGGUGGCAGGUAGUGUCAGCCUGAGAGUGCUACUUGGUGGUUGUUUCUAUUCUAUUAUCAUUUACUAAUUAAUAUCUGUGAAACAAGGCAUGUGCCCCCAAAUUUCUUGUCCCAUUUUCUCAGUUUAAGAAACUUCAUGUCUCUCAGUAUCUGCAUUUCUGUGCACAUUUCAUUUUCUACAACGUUAUAUUCAACCACCAGUGGAUAUAUCUAAAUACAAAUAAAUGAAUAAUAGUACAAAACUACAGUAUGAAAUUACAAAUAAAAUAGAAUCAACUUGAUUUGGUCGAGUGGUUAAUUCACUCAUCCGUUUAACCAAGUGUUAGAGUUCGAAUCUUGCUUUGUGCAUGCAGCAAUCCAUUUUCCAGCGGCAGAUCUUUAAAUAGAAUUUAGAUCUGCGACGGAUUAGUCGUAGUUCAUCCGUUUGCAUGCAUGACUGCGACCAACUAUUGUGGGAUUAAGGGGUGGCAAUGGCAUGAAGCCAUGAACUGAUGAGUUUUUUUUAACGUAUCUUCCGAGCCUUAUUAGAAGAACGGAUUCUGUGACCACUGAGGCAGUUUCUCAUUUUGUUAGUAGUGUGUGUUUAUUUAUAAUGAAAAUGAAAUAAAAUUGACGAAGUUAUAUCGUCAAUACUACGCAUGCAAUUGUCAGAUUUAGCUAUAUAUUUAUUAUGAUGAUAAUUAGAAGCAACAUCCUAAUUUUUUGUUGAAAAAUCAUGUCAAGAAGUAUAGUCCCAUAAAAAUGUGGUGACACAAACUUUAUUUGUAUAGUAGACAAGGAAAGAUAGCAAUAUAUGAUGAAGACAUGGACCACCAUCAAUAGGAUCGCCCAUAUGAACCUUCUUUCUAACAAAUUAAAGUUAAAAUAAUUUAGAAANNNNNNNNNNNNNNNNNNNNNNNNNNNNNNNNNNNNNNNNNNNNNNNNNNNNNNNNNNNNNNNAUGAUUAGAUGGUGUGUUGUGUUGCCAACAGUACAAGAUUUUUCUCAACCUUGUCGUCUUGUCUAAUCAUUGGUAUGGAAUAAGUUCAGUUGAUACCACAUAAUUUUCAGUAUUUGCAUUGCUGAUAAGUUCAUCUUCUUAAUAUAUACAUGGACAGUGAAAUUGAAACCAAAUUAAGGUUUAAUUAUUCUAUUGAUGUUAUAGUUUUAUCAUAUUUGUAAUUAAGUUUUUAUAUUUUUUUUAAUUGAAUUUUUACACUGAUUUGAAUUUUAUAAUUAGGCCCUUUUUAGUAUAAAAAAUAUUAGAGUUAACUGAAUAUUUUUUUGCAAAUUAAAAAUAUUUAUAAUUAUUUAGUAUACGUAUAUAUAGCGCUAUUGAUUAAUAAAUUAUGCAUAAAUUAAAGGAUAAUGAAAAUAUUUUAUUCCAUCAAGAUCUACUUAUAUUAUUUGCAUAGUUUAAAAUAAGCUUUAAAAACCAUGUUAUUAUAUUGCUUGCAAAGGUGUUGUGUGUCUUGUGCUAUUUGAUACAUAUUUAGUAAUAAGAAAUGUUCAAGGAUCAAUAAUUUUAUUUUAUAUCUAGUAUUUUUAAUUAUUAAUCUAAUAUCAUUAGUCUAUUCAUUUAAUAACAUACUUUUAAUUAAUAUUUUAAACAUUACUAACUAAUAACAAAUUCUGCUAGUAGUCUAGCAUUAUUUUUUAAUAAUAUUAUUAUGGCAGUGUUUCAUAUUAUUAGGAUGUGAUAUGUGGUAACUUAUAUAUUUGGUGUUAUAUAUAAGAUCAAAUGAUUACCUGAAGUGGGAAGUAUUUUAUAGACUAAUUUAAUUUGGAUGCAUGCAACAAAUUAAUAAUUUUAAUUUUGAUUAUAUUCUAAACACUACAUUACUACAAGGUGAUGAUAUAUACCUUCAAGAUGCCCAAUCAGAGGGAGAGAGGUCAUCUUCACCCUUAGCUUCUCUCUCAUUAUUAUCUAUCAUCAUCGUCUUUUAGUUAGCAUCAACUAAUCAAUUUCAAUUUAUAAUUAAGUAACCAACUAACUAUAGGAAACAUUUCAAGUGUACCGAGAAUACUGGUGCACCAAUUAUUUUAACCAUUGAUCUGAAUUAUAAAAAAAUAUAUAUAAUAUAUAUUAAUUGAAAUCAACAGUUAAAACAAUUGGUAUACCGGUUGUGAUUUAUAUAUAUAUAUAGUAUUUUUGAAAAAAAAAAUUAAUUUUGAUUCCUAAAAAAAAAUAGUGAGACAAGAUACAAAUAAUUAGCACCAGCAGCAGCCAAAAGUUAAUUCAUAUAAUCUGCCUACCGCUGAUGUAAUGCCAAAAUUUGAUGAGUUCAAUCCUUAAUUAGCAACUAUUAGUUAAUACUUAAUAUAUAGAAGAUUUGUUAAGAUUUUAAUAAGUUUAAAAUGUAUGUCCUAACUUUAAAUGGUGAUGUGCUAUUUUUUCCCCUUCAAUCUAAACUAUCAAUUAAUUAAUUAGUAUCAACAUGGAGUGUAUAUGAAUAAAUAUUUGUGUAAGCUAAUAGCUAAGAUAGAUCAUUGAGAUAGUGAUGAAUUGAAGUCAACAAUAAUGAAGUUAUAAUAAUAAUACAAGAAGAUCAAGUCACAUUACAAUAUCGUUAUAGUAUUUAUCAAUUAUAUAAUAUGUAUUUAUCAUUAUCUCUUUGUUUGCAUCCCCGAAAGAAAUAUGUUAUUUGUUACUUUUCAUUUAACGUGAUCUGAUUGCCAUCCAGUGACUGAGGAUUCCUCACCCACAUAUUUUGUGUGUGAGAAUAUAUGUUCUAUGAUUUCUAUCCCUUCCACAUUAAUAAACCAACAAAUUCUGUGAUUAAUUAAUUAUAUAUAUAAUAAGCUACAUACCAACAUCAUGAUGGGUCGUUUUUCAAUUCAGAGUUAUAUAUGCUCCUGUGUCAUAUUGUUAAUUGGUUUAAACUAUUAAUGCUAUAUAUAGCUUAGUUGUCUAGUUAAAGCUAAAUGAAGUAACGAAUAAUGAGACAUUAUACACUUUCCACACACUACAGGUAACGAACUAGCUAAUAAUUAAUAAUAAUCUUCAUUGGCAAAUAUAUAAAUGUCUUAUCUAAUCUAACGCAUCUUAAUUAAUUAGUAUCAUCACAUAAAGUAUAAAGUAUAUCAAUUAUAGAAAGACAUAUGUGCCUGGCUUUCACACUGUAUAGCAUCUAGGGCGUUCGGAUCAGUGUUAGAAUUUUAUUAUAAUUAUGAUCUAAUUUAUUAAUAUNNNNNNNNNNNNNNNNNNNNNNNNNNNNNNNNNNNNNNNNNNNNNNNNNNNNNNNNNNNNNNNNNNNNNNNNNNNNNNNNNNNNNNNNNNNNNNNNNNNNNNNNNNNNNNNNNNNNNNNNNNNNNNNNNNNNNUUUUCUGAUAAAAAAGAUACAAUUAUUUACAAAAAAUAUAAUUUGAGUCUUCAAUUCUAAUCAUCAUAAUUCAUAAUAGACACUCUAAUUCUAUCUUAAUAGAGAUACAUAAAUUAUUAGUUUUAUGAGCAUAAAAAAUAAGUAGAAACUUUUAAUGAUUUUUCUCCCAAAUUAAUUAUAAAACUGUGAUAAGCUCAACAACGCUUGUUUUAGAAAUAUGUUAGUCCAUAAAAAAUAAAAUCUAAAUCAUAUUAUUCACCUAAGAUCUUCGGUAUAUUUUACAUAUUUUUUUUUAAAUCUUUUAAAUUUUACUUUCAAACGCUAUAAAUAAAGGACUUUAAGUACGUUAUUUAUCCAUAAUUCUUAUAAUUAAAUCUCUUAUAAAUACAAUCCAUCACCAUGAAUAUACUAAUCUACAGCGAUUUACAUAUUGUUAAUCCUACAAAUUUAUAUUCUGCUAUUACAAGUAAUCUAGGUGUCACCUCCGAAUCAGAGCAAUAUAUAUAAAUCAUCAUCGGAAACAUGGAUCGGAUCAGAUCAGAUCAAGAUUUCAAAGUAAUUCACAUGGAUUUGGAUCCUCUAAAGUUUGAAUUUCAUUUUAGAGAGUAAAAUGUGAUUUUCUACCCUUGAAUAUUUUCUUUUUCAUAUUUAUUAUUUGGUCCCACCUAUGAAAUCAAUGGUGAGAGAUCACACUUUACUCUCUAAAGUGAAAUUUAAACUUUAGAAGAUCCAAAUCCGAUUCACAUAUAGCAUUCUCAUAUCCAUGUUGAUCUGCACUAUGGAUUUUGAGGAACAUUUUGCGUGCAUUUAUAUCAAUUGAGUAAUGCUAGGUAGACAAAAAAAAUAGCCAGAACUUGCUUUAUUUAGUAUUAAUUAAUUAUCGCAACAAUUAAUAAAUGUUAAACAAGACAAAUUAUGACUGUUUUUAACUGAUUUUCUUUGGUUACCAACAUUUUCGAUAUCAAUUUGCAUGUUAAUUAUCUUUUUAUAAUCAACUUGAUUUGUUAGAAUAGUUAGUUCUUUUCAUAUUUUAAAGUUUCAAUCUUAUCAUAUAUUGUAUAUACAAUAAUUUAUUAUUCGACAAUAAAUUUUUAAGUAAAAUUUAGAUCUACAACAAAUUAUUUUUUAACUUAUUAAAUUGGAGAAGAAUAUUGUAAAAAAUAAAAUAGAAUAAAGAUUUUUUGACAUAGUAAAGAUUAAUUCUCCCUUGUUUAGUUUAAGAAAAAUGUUUUAUACGUAUAUUAAAAUUAGUCAUUAAAAUAAGUUACGACUAAUGUAUUUAUGUAUAAAUACAUGUGUGGUUUAAUUUAUUUUUAAUAUAUAUUUUAUACUGGUGAUUGAUUUUGAUGACUUAUUUUAAUAUACACUUAGUAUAGUCGUUAAUUUAAUUAUAUAUUGUCAAUUAGGUCACUCUCUAUAAGUGUCUAUCCAGUAUUAAAAUAGCAUAAAGCAUAUAUAAGAACAACAUGGUGCAUUAGGGUAAAUAAGAUAACAGAGACAAGGAAAAGCACCAUUAUUCUCUUUAUUUAUUUUGCUUCAAACAAUGGAAUAAUAUAGAUAAUAGAAUGGAUUAUAUAAUAUUAAUGACAUCAUUACGUCAUCUAACUAAAACGCAUCACUCUCACUGCAUAGUAAGCUACUGAUUUUCAGUUCCAAAAAAGAACAAAACAAGAAGAUAAACUAAAAUCGAAUUAAGAUAUGCGAUGAUGUGGAUUCUAUUGAUCACAAUUGAGGUAUAUUUAUGGUUCCCCCAUUGCACGACUCAGGGUUAGCAUAUAUAAUAUGGGUAAUGAUAGGGAGACAAAAAAAAA
rnacentral:lncRNA from 1 species